GAUGAACGCUAGCGGCAGGCCUAAUACAUGCAAGUCGAGGGGUAGAAGAGGCUUGCUUCUUUGAGACCGGCGCACGGGUGCGUAACGCGUAUGCAACCUACCUUCAUCUGGGGGAUAGCCCGGAGAAAUCCGGAUUAAUACCGCAUAAAAUCACAGGAUGGCAUUAUCCAAUGAUCAAACAUUUAUGGGAUGGAGAUGGGCAUGCGUGUCAUUAGCUAGUUGGCGGGGUAACGGCCCACCAAGGCGACGAUGACUAGGGGAUCUGAGAGGAUGGCCCCCCCACACUGGUACUGAGACACGGACCAGACUCCUACGGGAGGCAGCAGUAAGGAAUAUUGGUCAAUGGAGGCAACUCUGAACCAGCCAUGCCGCGUGCAGGAAGACUGCCCUAUGGGUUGUAAACUGCUUUUAUUCGGGAAUAAACCUUAUUACGUGUAAUAAGCUGAAUGUACCGAAGGAAUAAGGAUCGGCUAACUCCGUGCCAGCCGCCGCAGUAAAAC
rnacentral:rRNA from 1 species